rnacentral:rRNA from 1 species
AUUGAACGCUGGCGGCAGGCCUAACACAUGCAAGUCGAACGAGUGGCGGACGUGUGAGUAAUGUCUGGGAAACUGCCUGAUGGAGGGGGAUAACUAAUGGAAACGGUAGCUAAUACCGCAUACCAUCGGAUGUGCCCAGAUGGGAUUAGCUAGUAGGUGGGGUAAAGGCUCACCUAGGCGACGAUCCCUAGCUGGUCUGAGAGGAUGACCAGCCACACGGUAACUGAGACACGGUCCAGACUCCUACGGGAGGCAGCAGUGGGGAAUAUUGCACAAUGGGCGCAAGCCUGAUGCAGCCAUGCCGCGUGUGUGAAGAAGGUCUUCGGGUUGUAAAGUACUUUCAGUGGGGAGGCGUUACCCGCAGAAGAAGCACCGGCUAACUCCGUGCCAGCAGCCGCGGUAAUAC